rnacentral:rRNA from 1 species
AGGACGAACGCUGGCGGCGUGCUUAACACAUGCAAGUCGAGCGGAAAGGCCCUUCGGGGUACUCGAGCGGCGAACGGGUGAGUAACACGUGAGUAAUCUGCCCCUAGCUCUGGGAUAGCUCCGGGAAACCGGGAUUAAUACCAGAUACGACCACUUUAGACAUCUGUUGUGGUGGAAAGAAUUUUGGCUAGGGAUGAGCUCGCGGCCUAUCAGCUUGUUGGUGAGGUAACGGCUCACCAAGGCGACGACGGGUAGCCGGCCUGAGAGGGCGACCGGCCACACUGGGACUGAGACACGGCCCAGACUCCUACGGGAGGCAGCAGUGGGGAAUAUUGCGCAAUGGGCGAAAGCCUGACGCAGCGACGCCGCGUGGGGGAUGAAGGCCUUCGGUUGUAACCCUUUCAGCAGGACGAAGCGAAGUGACGGUACCUGCAGAAGAAGCGCCGGCUAACUACGUGCCAGCAGCCGC